rnacentral:hammerhead_ribozyme from 1 species
GAGUCCCAAAUAGGACGAAAUGCGUAUCCUGGAU